rnacentral:lncRNA from 1 species
GGCAGGCUACCGACAACAGAAGCGUGACAAACGAGAAGCAAGACUAACAUGAGGGCGACGGGACGAACUGCGACAAGCUAGCUACGGCGACAAUGACAAGUUUACACAACUGCGAUGGCGAUGAAGACAUGUUGACAUGAGCGUGGCGGCGACGAAGACAGGCUGACUGAUAAGUGACGGUGGUGGGUAGGGCGUGUGUGUUGGCAAAAGUGAGGGAGAUGGUGAAGGGGGGUGUGUGUGUGUGUGAAAGAUAAAGUGAGAGUGCAGAGGUGUGUAUGUGUCGGCUGGUGUGAGAAAGAUGGUGUGUGUUGUGUUGG